rnacentral:lncRNA from 1 species
GUCUAAAUGCACGAUCGAUCAUCCAUAAAAUUUAAAGUACUAUAAGAUUUAAGUUACAAAUUUAAAAUGCGACUACUUCAUUUGUUUGUGGUCGGUAUGGUGAAGACCAAUGAUGCUGAAUUUUGUACUUUUUUAGAAGCGUGAUCACCUAUAUCUGAAAAUGAGAGUCAUUUAUCCAAGAUGAUCUCAAAAGUAACCCCAUAUUGACAAAAGGAUGUUUGUCUUGAUGAAAUGUGC